rfam:Dipodomys ordii contig_37332, whole genome shotgun sequence.
GGUGGCUCAGUGGUAGAGCGCUUGCCUUGCAUGCCUAUGGCCCUGGGUUCGAUUCCCCAGCACCA